rnacentral:rRNA from 1 species
UACAGAGGUCUCAAGCGUUGUUUCGGAUUCAUUGGGCGUAAAGGGUGCGUAGGCGGCGCGGUAAGUCGGGUGUGAAAUCUCGGAGCUUAACUCCGAAACUGCAUUCGAUACUGCGGUGCUUGAGGACUGGAGAGGAGACUGGAAUUCAUGGUGUAGCAGUGAAAUGCGUAGAGAUCAUGAGGAAGACCAGUGGCGAAGGCGGGUCUCUGGACAGUUCCUGACACUGAGACACGAAGGCCAGGGAGCAAACGGG